rnacentral:tRNA from 1 species
CGGGGACUGGCCUAAUGGUAAGGCGCCUCGUUCGGGACGAGGAAUAUAGCAGUUCGACCCUGCUGUCCCCGACAA